rnacentral:lncRNA from 1 species
AAGGUGAGAGACUUCUCCUUUGAUGCUCCUAACGAUUGCCGUCCUCUUGAACCACCAAGCUCUAAAUGAGAAAUUGUGAAUGAAAGCUCUUGUAUUUAUAGGCAAGUUUCCAACUGAGUUUGUGUUGAAAAAAUAGGCUUUACCCACAAACCCGCGGUGAAAAAUCAAUAUUUUGUUGAUUUUUCCCCUAACUUGUUAUGUCUUCAGAGGCCUUUUGAAUUUUAAUUUCAUGUCUUAUAUUCGUUCAUGAGGUGUUUUACUUUGCCGAAUUACAUGAUUUUUCAAUAGAAUACUACAAAAACUCCUAGGAAUUACUUGGUUUAGGGAAGAACUAAAAAUAAAUGACUCGAUAUUAAAAUAUUACGAAAUGUCUCGUAAACCAUGAGCAACUUCUCUAAAACUCCUCUUUAUUAACUCAAGUCACUACUAAAAUGACUGGAAAACAUACUGAAAAUAACGUAACAUAACAUACCAUCACUUGUUGGGUUGUAACUUUCUAUUACUUGUAAGCCUUUAUUUUUAAAAAGUCAAUUUAUUAACCACUCUUUUCCGCUACCUUUAGAGGUGUACAAAAUCAUGUUUAAACUUAUCUAAUCCAAUUUCCAGUACGUACAAAAACCUUUCACGCACUCAAUAUGAUGUGAUGAAACCCGAGGACAUGCAUCGUCUGAUUUGCAAGGAAUAUCAGUUUCUACAUUGUCAAAUAAAAAAAUAAAUGAAUGUUAUUAAAAGGUGAUAAAA